UAGUAACUGCGAGUGAAGUGGGAAAAGCUCAAAUUUGAAAUCUGGCAGUCUCCCUUUUCUUCUUUGGCUGUCCGAGUUGUAAUCUAGAGAAGUGUUUACCCGUGCUGGACUGUGUACAAGUCUCCUGGAAUGGAGCGUCGUAGAGGGUGAGAAUCCCGUCUUUGACAUGGAUCUACCAGUGCGUUGUGGUGCGCUCUCAAAGAGUCGAGUUGUUUGGGAAUGCAGCUCUAAAUGGGUGGUAAACUCCAUCUAAAGCUAAAUAUUGGCGAGAGACCGAUAGUGAACAAGUACCGUGAGGGAAAGAUGAAAAGGACUUUGGAAAGAGAGUUAAACAGUAUGUGAAAUUGUUGAAAGGGAAACACUUGAAGUCAGUUGUGUCUGCUAGGGAUCAACCCAGCUGCUUUUUGGUGGGUGAAUUUCCUAGUGUGACAGGCCAACAUCAGUUUUGACUGUUGGAAAAGAGCAAGGGGAAUGUGGCACCUUUGGGUGUGUUAUAGCCUUUUGUCAUAUGCAGCAGUUGGGACUGAGGAAGAUUGCAGCGCGCCGCAAGGCCGGGUCAUUGACCACGUUCGCGCUCAGGAUGUUGGCAUUUUAAUGGCUUUAAUUGACCCGUCUUGAAACACGGACCAAGGAGUCUAACAUG
rnacentral:rRNA from 1 species